rnacentral:rRNA from 1 species
UACAGAGGGUGCAAGCGUUGUUCGGAAUUAUUGGGCGUAAAGGGCGCGUAGGCGGUGCGGUAAGUCGGAUGUGAAAUCCCUCGGCUCAACUGAGGAAGUGCAUCCGAAACUGGCAGGCUUGAGUACUAAAGAGGGUCGCGGAAUUCCCGGUGUAGAGGUGAAAUUCGUAGAUAUCGGGAGGAACACCGGUGGCGAAGGCGGCGACCUGGGUAGAUACUGACGCUGAGGUGCGAAAGCGUGGGGAGCAAACAGG